UCUGCUUUUGCUUUCUUAGAGCCUCUGAAGCCAGUGAAGUAAAUGAAGUUAAAGGUGUUCUGCUCCUGUGUGGGUGCCUCAGUGCAUCCCUGUCCUGCAGUGGGUUGGGGCUGGCUCUCCACAUGUCCUGCACCCACAUAAUCUGCAGGCUGCCUGUCCCUAUUGCUCUCCUCCUCCAUCAAGUCCCUCUGCCUGCAAAAUAACUCUGGAGACUUUGAUUAGAUUGUUCCUGUGAAGGAGACAGGUGAGAAGGAAGCCCCCUCUCACAAAGCCAGUCUUUUUUUCCCUCAUUUUUGUGCAGGUGCUCUGGUGCCUGCAAUCCUGCUGGAAGUCUAUGGGCCAGGACCAACACGUGUGUAAAGUUCCAUUGCCACCAGAGCAGAGGAGUUGGAGGUGGCAGAAGGAAGGCGAUGGUUGGCCCAAAGGGGAGUUCAUUCACCCGGGUAAUGGGCUCUUGGCACAGCCACGGGCAAUACGGGAAAGCCACGCUCUGGGAUUGGAGAUAUUGUUAAAGUCGAAUUAAAGAUGGUAUUGAAGUCACUUUGGUGUGUUUUAUGAGAAAACCUGUGGGGUUCACAAAGGCACCGAGUGCCGAGGCUCGUCUCCCCCUCCCGCCCGAGGAAUUUCCACCACAGAAAUGCUCGGAUUUUUCCCUGUGGAAAUUCUCCAAAGGGAUCACAGCAAAGCUAAAAGAAAAGGCCAAAGGAGGGAAACCACUUCUCGUGGCAACUUUUGCAUUUGACAGUUCAAAGCAGGAGAGCAGCAGCAUUUGUCAGGAGCGCUGGGAGGGAAGCAGUAAUUGCCUGGAAGCAGCCACAGAUGCAGGGCUCACUCCAGCUGCUGCUGCAUCGCUAAGAGUCUCUUCCAAGGGAUGGAUGUUUGAAAGAUGUGAGGAACAUUGGGAAGACCAAGAGAACACUUCUGCAAUAAACCUCUUUUUGAGUCUGGGAUCAAUUGAAAUUAGGUAUUUCAUUCAUCACUGGAUCGUGUAGAAAGCCUGAGCUGAAUAAAACCUUCUGAAAGAAGAUGAGGAGACA
rnacentral:lncRNA from 1 species